ACUGAGCAUGGACUCACAGUUAAAUUUUCUAAAGAUAAGGCCAAAAUUUCUGAUCGAUUCGGAAAAUCUCAAUUUAAUGCUAAUUUGAUGGAUGGCAUAUACCAAAUAAACGCUAAUACAAGCUACACUAUGUUGACGACCGAAAAUGAAAAGGAAUUUCUUUGGCACAACCGAUUUGGACACUUAAAUUUUAACGAUUUAAAGAAAUUGGAAGCACAUCACAUGGUGCGAGGCUUAGAAGUUUCCGUUUCAUUUAAGUUGUGAAAUUUCAAAAUAAGAAUGAAAAUAAAAUCAAAAUCACGUACGCUUGUGGAGAAAUAUAAGAAGAAAAAACAAGGUUUCAAUGAAAUCAUAAAAAUCAUUAAAACUCCAGAAGAAGAGAAACACGUUUCAAAAGAGGGUAAAAAUAAAACCCAAAAGAUAACAUUCAGCGGUGACAAUUGGUGCCACUCACCUAAGGCUGAUUAAAAGAAGUCUGGUAAGAGUCAAACCCAGCAUUGCCUCUUUGAUGAAAGGCAGAAGAUGACGAUUAGGAUGUGGUUGACGUCUUUGACGUUUUACGGGAGAUGGUGACGAUGAUGUUGAUAAA